rnacentral:rRNA from 1 species
UACGGAGGGUGCAAGCGUUAAUCGGAAUUACUGGGCGUAAAGCGCGCGUAGGCGGUUUUUAAGUCGGAUGUGAAAGCCCCGGGCUCAACCUGGGAACUGCAUCCGAUACUGGAAGACUAGAAUGCGGGAGAGGGAGGUAGAACUCCAUGUGUAGCAGUGAAAUGCGUAGAUAUAUGGAGGAAUACCAGUGGCGAAGGCGGCCUCCUGGCUCGACAUUGACGCUGAGGUGCGAAAGCGUGGGGAGCAAACGGC